rnacentral:rRNA from 1 species
GUACAUUGUAUCGAAGCAUCCAGAGAUGGAUGUGUCUCUUCGGAGACGGGUAUGACAGGUGCUGCAUGGCUGUCGUCAGCUCGUGCCGUGAGGUGUCGGGUUAAGUCCCAUAACGAGCGCAACCCCUACUCAUUAGUUGCCAUCAGGUCAAGCUGGGGACUCUAAUGAAACUGCCUACGCAAGUAGUGAGGAAGGUGGGGAUGACGUCAAAUCAGCACGGCCCUUACGUCCAGGGCUACACACGUGCUACAAUGGUCGGUACAAAGGGUUGCCAAGCCGCGAGGUGGAGCUAAUCCCAUAAAACCGAUCGUAGUCCGGAUCGCAGUCUGCAACUCGACUGCGUGAAGUCGGAAUCGCUAGUAAUCGUGAAUCAGAAUGUCACGGUGAAUACGUUCCCGGGCCUU